rnacentral:misc_RNA from 1 species
AGUCGUAACAAGGUUUCUGUAGGUGAACCUGCAGAAGGAUCAUUAGUGAAAGUUUCGGGCCUGCCAUACGGACGCAAACACGUCUCUGGCGCCCAUCACUAUAUCCAUACCAACCCCUGUGCACUGUGAUGACGAAUGUCAUCGAACAAAAAAAAACUCGUAUGGUUGAAUGUACGUGAAAUUGUAGGUAUAGCCUACGAACUAUACACAACUUUCGACAACGGAUCUCUUGGUUCUCCCAUCGAUGAAGAACGCAGCGAAACGCGAUAGGUAAUGUGAAUUGCAGAAUUCCGUGAAUCAUCGAAUCUUUGAACGCACCUUGCGCUCCAUGGUAUUCCGUGGAGCAUGCCUGUUUGAGUGCCGCGAAUUCUCCCUCCCCUUACGGUGGCCGAAAGGCCGAAGUAGGGCGGACGGGGUAGGAUGGGUGUUUGCUGCCUGGGGAUUGUACCAGGCUCGCCCGAAAUGCAUAAGCGCCAGGACCCUCGCUACCGCUCUCUAGGGAAGAGUGGCUAAGCGACCGCUGAGCAUGGCAUGAUACGUCAUUUGCUGUGUGUGGGCGGCCGGUUGGAGAGGUGUCUGCUUUACCAGCCCUAUUUUAAUUCUGGUCUCAAAUCAGGUAGGAUCACCCGCUGAACCUAAGCAUAUCAAUAA